AACGAACGCUGGCGGCAUGCCUAACACAUGCAAGUCGAACGAGACCUUCGGGCCUAGUGGCGCACGGGUGCGUAACGCGUGGGAACCUGCCUUUAGGUUCGGAAUAACUCAGAGAAAUUUGAGCUAAUACCGGAUGAUGUCUUCGGACCAAAGAUUUAUCGCCUUUUGAUGGGCCCGUGUUGGAUUAGCUGGUUGGUGGGGUAAAGGCAUACCAAGGCGAGGAUGCAUAGCUGGUCGGAGAGGAUGAUCAGCCACACUGGGACUGAGACACGGCCCAGACUCCGACGCGAGGCAGGAGAGGAGUAUAUUGUAGAAUGAGCGAAAGCCUAAUCCAGCCAUGCCGGGUGAGUGAUGAAGGCGUUAGGGUUGUAAAUCUCUUUUACCCGAGAUGAUAAUGACAGUAUCGGGUGAAUAAGCACCGGCUAACUACGUG
rnacentral:rRNA from 1 species